AGCAGCCGCGGUAAUUCCAGCUCCAAUAGCGUAUAUUAAAGUUGCUGCAGUUAAAAAGCUCGUAGUUGAAUUUCGGGACCAAUAUGUCGGUCGUGCCUCGGUACGUACUGGCAUCGUUGGUUUCUCCCUUCUGACGAACCAUGAUGUCAUUAAUUUGGUGUCAUGGGGAGUCAGGACUGUUACUUUGAAAAAAUUAGAGUGUUUAAAGCAGGCUCGCGCUUGAAUACAUUAGCAUGGAAUAAUGAAAUAGGACGUUUGACCCUAUUUUGUUGGUUUCUAGGAUCGACGUAAUGAUUAAUAGGGAUAGUUGGGGGCAUUAGUAUUCAAUUGUCAGAGGUGAAAUUCUUGGAUUUAUUGAAGACUAACUACUGCGAAAGCAUUUGCCAAGGAUGUUUUCAUUAAUCAAGAACGAAAGUUAGGGGAUCGAAGACGAUCAGAUACCGUCGUAGUCUUAACCAUAAACUAUGCCGACUAGGGAUCGGAUGAUGUUAAUUUUUAAUGACUCAUUCGGCGCCUUAAC
rnacentral:rRNA from 1 species